GAAAAAAAUGGCUAAGUCCUGGACUGGGUUCUUUUACACAGAUAAGACGGUGAACCAUUCACCGUCUUUAUGGCAGUACAGAUAAGACGGUAAACCAUUCACCGUCUUAUCUGUAGCCCCACCUUACUCUAAAGACGGCGAAUAGUUCACCGCCUAAUUAAGACGGUGAACCACUCACCGUCUUAUCUGUGUUUUAGCCCCACCACGACUUGGCCAAAUUAGGGCAGGUGGCAAUUUACUCUAAAGACGGCGAAUAGUUCACCGCUUAAUUAAGACGGUGAACCACUCACCGUCUUAUCUGUGUUUUAGGCCCCCUCUCGAGAACUUG
rnacentral:lncRNA from 1 species